GUGGCCGUAGCUCAAGGGUAGAGCCGCGGUUUGUGGUGCCGUUGGUGUCGGUUCGAGUCCGACCGGUCACC
rnacentral:tRNA from 1 species